rnacentral:lncRNA from 1 species
UCAACAUUUAUUCAUAUUAGCAUUACUACUACUAAACAACUGAUGGAAAUACACAGUAAAAAGAUGUUAGGUUAGCACAUUUUGCCUGAAUAUCUGUAUAUUGUUUACCCCGUCUUGUAUGCUUAUGAGGUCAGUCAGUAGACAAUGCUAAAUAUCUAUACACAGCAGAUUAUACAUGUCAACAUCAUGUGAGUAUUACAAAACAAGACAUGUGAGUAUUACAAACAACAUCAUGUAUUACAAACAAGACACUAGAGACAUACACGUUUAUUUCAGUCACUCAGCACAGCAGAAAAAAACAGGUUUCUUCAAUCUGCAUUCCUCUACACAGACACAUAAUAAUAAUAUAUAUGUAUAUAUAUAUAUAUAUAUAUAUAUAUAUAUAUAUAUACACAAUAAGAUAAAUAAAAUCUUGUACAACAGAAAACUGAAUUAGCAUUAACUGUAGAUUGAAUCAGUUUAGUAAAAUAUAAAGGUCUGUAUAUAUAUAAAACACGGCAUUCUUAACAAACCCAUUGAAUUUGUCAAAAUAGAUAAUUUAAGCAAGUGUAUCUAAGAUAAACAGUUAAAAAAGCAAUAAUGGCUGAAAUUAUUUGACACUGUCUACAAACUAAAGAUCACUAGGUUUUCAACUACAGUCAUUCAGGUUCUAUGCCUAUUGUUAUUUUCCCCACACGGAACAGCAUAUACCAUAACCUUUAACAUACCAGUCAUACCAGGCAUUCUGGUUGGGAUGGGGAAAACCUGAGCUACAUACAACCCAAUUUUUUAACUGCUUAACAUAAGUCUAAAGUAAUUCAAACAUUGUGGGUCGAAUUUACAAAGCCAUAACAUAGUAUUGAAUUUUAAAUACUAUAGUAAUAAAGAGAGGCCACUUUUGGAUUGUGAGUUUUGCUAGAGUAAAAUUAAUUCUUUAUUUGGGGUUCAAUAUUGCAUAAAUCAAGACUUGAGAUAUUUAUUUUUGCCUGAAUUACGUGAACUAAGUUUUCCAUAUAUAGGAAGAGGAAAUGCAUUGUGGCAAUAUCUUCGUUAAUCCAUCAAGAAGCUAUAAUGGCAAUAAAAAGAGCACCAAGAAUUACAUGGAUUCACAAUGUAAGACUGACAUUGGAGAGAGGUAGUGAAAGUUUGUUGCAAUCGUGAUGUAUAUUUUACUCACAAUAAUACUGUAAGUUGAUAUAUAGCAGGUCUCUUCUCUUUACUGGUACAUGUACCAUUAUUGUUGGUCUGUCAUCACUUUCAAUACCUACAUCUACAAACAUCUUGACUGUCCCUCGCAGACAUGUAUUUUUGGGGGGUUCUACACGUAAAUGUUUAGUGCACCAAGUGUUGAUGUCAAGUGUGUAAGGACCCAGGCAUGUGUGCAGGGGCAGGGCAGGCAGGCAUGUGUGCAGGGGGAGGACAGGCACGUGUGCAGGGGGAGGACAGGCACAUGUGCAGGGGGAGGACAGGCAUGUGUGCAGAGGGAGGACAGGCACAUGUGCAGGGGGAGGGCAGGCACGUGUGCAGGGGCAGGGCAGGCACGUGUGCAGGGGGAGAACAGGCACGUGUGCAGGGGGAGGGCAGGCACGUGCGCAGGGGGAGGGCAGGCACGUGCGCAGGGGGAGGGCAGGCACGUGCGCACGGACAGGCACGUGCGCAGGGGGAGGACAGGCACGUGCGCAGGGGGAGGGCAGGCACGUGCGCAGGGGGAGGGCAGGCACGUGCGCAGGGGGAGGGCAGGCACGUGCGCAGGGGGAGGGCAGGCACGUGCGCAGGGGGAGGGCAGGCACGUGCGCAGGGGGAGGGCAGGCAUGUGUGCAGGGGGAGGGCAGGCAUGUGUACGGGGAGAGCAGGCAUGUGUGCAGGGGGAGGGUGUAAGAGGUCGAAACACCUUCCUACUCAAGCAAAUUUUAUUUUUUCUGAAUAUAUUUUCCAGAUGGGCAUGACUUGACCCCUUCUAUAAAUUUUGAUCACCAGAGUCUAGACCCUACCCCCCCCCCCCCCCUGCUAAAAUCCCUACGCAUGUGCCUGGGACCCUACAUUAGUAUAGCCAAAGGGGUAUACAAUGUCGUCAAAAACGGAGAGGUGCACCUACUCUGGAUUCUUCCCCUGUAUUCAUCCAUGAUUUUAAAUACUGAAUCUGUAUGGUAACGGCAUACCUCGCAAACAUUUGGUAUUACAAAAACAUUUACUGUGACGUCGUAUCGUAGUAAUAAUAAAUAAUGUCUAAGUUUCUGAACACAGUCAUAAAACAUACUGACAACAUAACCCUAACAUUACUGAACCCUUCAUGUUAUAAUAAUGAUAAUAAUAAAUUGUUAAAGUUUUUGAACACCGUCAUAAAACGUAUUGGCAACAUAACCAUAACAUUACUUAACCAUUUAUCUUAUUUGACAAAACAAACACAAAACCCACCACAUAAUACUACAAAUAAUCAUGAUAACAACUAACAAUGAACACAACUGUAAUACAUACUGUCAGUCUAAGCUAAUACUAAUUAAGUCAUCAGAGAAACUUUAAAGAGAACGUCCUGCAUUUCCUUCCAUUGUAAAAGGUUUUCCAUAAUAGAGCCUUUUUAAUAACUAAUAGUAAAUAGUAAAUAAAAAAAAAUUGUUUAGAAUAUCAGUCUCUGUAUAUUCAGCAUGUUUCUGGUCAUUCCAAUAUUUAUAACAAAUCAAUCUCAAUUUUACCUCAAUAAUUUUGCAAGUAAAUUUUUUAAAUUAUAUUUUUUAGUAAAAUUAUUUGAGGAACCAAAAACAAUACGAUAAUCGGAAAGACACUGGAUUCACAGAGACUACCAACUGCCAGCACAAAGUUGGCCAACUUUCUGCUGUCACAACUUCUACAACUGUCCAGUUGCUAGUCAGAUCACUCUUACAACUCGAUUCUCGUCGUAUAACCAAUUAGUUGUUAAUCUGCAUGCUCUUACAACUCAAUUCUCGUCGUAUAACCCACUAGUUGUUAAUCUGAGCUCUCUUACAACUUGAUUCUCGACAUAUAACCCACUAGUUGUUAAUCUGCGUGCUUUUACAAUUCGAUUAUCGUCGUAUAACCCAUUAGUUGUUAAUUUGUACGCUCUUACAACUCGAUUCUCGACGUAUAACCCACUAGUUGUUAAUCUGCGUGCUUUUACAAUUCGAUUAUCGUCGUAUAACCCACUAGUUGUUAAUUUGCACGCUCUUACAACUUGAUUCUCGAUGUAUAACCCAUUAGUUGUUAAUUUGCACGCUCUUACAACUCGAUUCUCGUCGUAUAACCCAUUAGUUGUGAAUCUGCGCGCUCUUACAACUCGAUUCUCGUCGUAUAACCCAUUAGUUGUUAAUCUGAGCUCUCUUACAACUCAAUUCUCGUCGUAUAACCCAUUAGUUGUUAAUCUGCGCGCUCUUACAACUCGAUUCUCGUCGUAUAACCCAUUAGUUUUAAUCUGAGCUCACCCGUCUUAAGUCCGGAGUUGGGAAAAUUAUAAUGCAACCGUCGAGUUGGCCAACUCCGUCAUGACAGUUGACAGUCUGAAACUAGCAUUAGUCAGCAACAUCUUAACAAUGGGAGAGAACUCAGGACACUCUCUUUAAUGACUCAGAGACAAACCUGGGAUAAUAAGACACACAUAGAAGCGUCAACAUGUAAUAUUUGUACUAAUAGUACAAUCAGUUAAUUUGGGUGAAUAUUUGGUUGUCCCUCUUAGAACAGUGGUUGUUUUAUAUCAUCCAAAAGAAACUACAUUCAUAAAAUUUGAAUAAUUUGAUAAAUAUUGGUGCUAAUUGAAAAUAACAAUUUAGAAACCACCUUGCAGAUACUUUGCAUGUAUCACGAAGUGCAUUGCAUCUUUUAGAUGUUGAACUUCAUGAUACUUUGAUAUCCCACCAUACCAUUUGCUGGCUUUCUAGAAUACAAUUUCAGAUCUUGUAAAGUUUCUUUUGGACGUCAGUAUAGUAACCAUCUGAGCAAUUUUGAUUGUAUGCUACUAAACGUUGAAGAACUAAUUUUACAGCACUGAACAGGAAUCUGGUGGCAAAGCUAAUACACUGGUUAGAUGUGGACAAAAAAGUCCCACAACUCAAUAAAAGAAAAAUUAGACAGAAAGGAAAGGACAAUUUGUUUUAGGAUACUUCGCAACAUUUUGAAAACAAAUGCAGUUCUAACAACUGUGGUAUUUGGGAACUUGGUCUAGAUAACAGGAGAGGAAACCCUACUGCUGAAAGCAAUUUGCUUUUGUUAAUGUACCAAGGGGCAGAACGAAGCCCACUGGUAAAGAGUUCACCUCAUCCGCAGUCGGUCUAAGAUUGAUCUUCGCCGGUGAGCACAAUGGGCUAUCCAGCCAGUGCACCAUGACUGGAAUUGUCAAAGGCCGUGGGAUCGUACUUAUAAAAGAUCCCUUGCUGCUAAUGGAACAAUGUACCAGAUUUCCUAUCUAAGACUGUCAGAAUUACCAAAUGUUUGACAUCCAAUAGCCGAUGAUUAAUAAAUCAAUGUGCUCUAGUGGUGUCGUAAAAAAAAAAAAAAAAAAUUAACUACAAUGUACCGGUAGUGGGGCAUUAGUUAAGACCGGGAAACACCCGAAGUGGUUCCGUGUAGGUCAUCAACCCUUACAACAAGGGUCGAAGACCCUACAGAUCCAACCAUCAACUUUAAUUAUGUGACAAAAAAACCAGGACAUGUUGCAUGUUUAUAUAAUAAUUGUUGUCAUUUGUUUUGUGAAUUUAUCGAUGUAUAACAGUCACAACUUGAAAAUUGUAGAAUAGUUAAAUGAUUUUAUGCUAAAUAUGUGAUCGUUUUACAUCGAUAAAUUAACAACAAAUGACAAACAAUCUUUAUAAUUACAAAACACAAUUUAUUUACUUAAAAAUACACAUAAAUAUGUUUCGAACAUUCUUUGCAUGACCUGUUUUACGUAAUAACAUCCUAUUUGAUGUAAUGAAGCAAUUUUCUUUCCUUUUUUAGUGAUGUCGUCCAAUCAGAAAUUAUUAAAUUAUAUCAUGGCAGAAAGUGUGUAAUCAUAUAUCAGUGAAAUACAGUAACGUGACCAGACUGUUCAUAUGGAAAAUACACAAUUAUUAUCAAUAUACGUUUUACUUUCUUUCUCUACAUAAAAGCAUGUCUAUGAACUGAUAGAAACGAACAAACAAAACCUACAUAGAACUGACUUAGAGAAAGAAUUAAGGAAAAUAUUACUACAAAAACUGACUUGGGAAAAAAUAAAGAAAAAUAUUAUCACAAAAAAGUUGACUUGAAAAAAUAAUGAAGCAAAAUAUUACCACAAAACUGACUUGGAGAAAUAACAACCAAAAAGGAAAAACAUUAAUGUCACGAGUUUGGCAGUUUCAAGCAUUGUAAAAAGUAACUUUAGGUGGACACAAAAUGUUUUUUCGUACAACAAAAAGAACAAAAUGCACAGACUAUUUGAAGACAAAAACACAAAAAGUAGGAAUGGCUACAAAACAAUGUAUAUGAAAUGUUACAUGUACGUAUUCCCAUGAUAUACACAGCAAUCCAUGUGACAGUAAAUGCUGUUUUGAUAUAACUGACAUCAUAUAUUGGCUGACUCCCACAAAAACCUGAUAAGGAAUUCUAUUUUUAAAAAAUUAUGGGGACUAACUUUGAUAUUUCACACCCAUUACUAAAUGGACAUUUUCCACAUUCAGUGGCCCAUAGUUCAAAUAAUGUUAAAAUAGCAACAGAUUCAACACUGUAAGUAAAACAAAAAAAGAAAGAAAUGUUUUAUUUAACGAUGCACUCAACACAUUGUAUUUACGGUCAUAUGGCGUCAGACAUAUGGUUAUGAACAACACAGAUAUUGAGAGAGGAAACCCGCUGUUACCACUUCAUGAGCUACUCUUUUCGAUUAGCAGCAAGGGAUCUUUUAUAUUGUAAGUAAAACAAAUGCGACGCUCAUUGCAGUUACAGCCCUCGUCUGGUAUUGCAUUUUUUGUACUUACAAUUGACUUACAUACACACACACACACACACACACACACACACACACAGUAUACCUUUACACCAUAAGUAUGUGCACACAGACACACACCGACAUAUUAUUUUCUGUGUACAAGUGUGACAUACAUCUAUAUAGUUAACGGCAAUGUAUAGCGAUUUGAUAUGUUGUGGUCUCUUGAUUAAAAUAAGUUAUAAAUGCAGCAGAGAUAAAUGGAAGCCUUUAAAAACCUUUUUGUUUAAUUCAGUAUUGAUAGCAUUGAAAUGAAUAUAAUUAGAGAUAUUUCAACGCUCUGUUUAAUUCACUAUGUAUUUUUCAGUGUAAUAACAGUAAGAAAAAACUUUUAAAAGUAAAAACUAGCUUUUUUUAUUGCUCCAAAAAUCACAAUUAUAACUAUUACACACUUUCUUUAUGAAGAAAUAUCACAAAAUUAAGGACAAUGCUGAUAGGGUUGUAUCACAAUAUGACGAACAUGCAUAUUACGAACAUGCUAAACACUUCAAAUAACAUUUUGACAUCUUUAUUGCUAGAGCUAUGUUAGUGUUUACUGGUUAAGUUUUUUUAGUUGUUGUUGGUUGUUGUUUUCUUAAUAGAUAUAAAAGUUGUCUUGAAAUAUACUACUGGAAGAUAAAACAGAAUAUAUAAUAAGCUUCCGAAUACAAAGUUAAAUUAAUUUUCAAAUACUGAGCAUGAAGAUCAACUGAAGAGAAAAAAAAUGAAAAACAAAAGAAAAA